AUUGAACGCUGGCGGAAUGCUUUACACAUGCAAGUCGAACGGUAGAGGGGGCAACCCCUCGAGAGUGGCGAACGGGUGAGUAAUAUAUCGGAACGUGCCCAGUCGUGGGGGAUAACGUAGCGAAAGUUACGCUAAUACCGCAUACGAUCUAAGGAUGAAAGCGGGGGAUCGCAAGACCUCGCGCGAUUGGAGCGGCCGAUACCGGAUUAGGUAGUUGGUGGGGUAAAGGCUCACCAAGCCAACGAUCUGUAGCUGGUCUGAGAGGACGACCAGCCACACUAGAACUGAGACCCGGUCCAGACUCCUACGGGAGGCAGCAGUGGGGAAUUUUGGACAAUGGACGCAAGUCUGAUCCAGCCAUUCCGCGUGAAGGAUGAAGGCCCUCGGGUUGUAAACUGCUUUUGUACGAAACGAAAAGGUCUCUCUUAAUACAGGGGACUCAUGACGGUACCGUAAGAAUAAGCACCGGCUAACUACGUGCCAGCCGCCGCCGUAA
rnacentral:rRNA from 1 species